AGUGAACGCUGGCGGUAGGCCUAACACAUGCAAGUCGAACGGCAGCACAGUAAGAGCUUGCUCUUACGGGUGGCGAGUGGCGGACGGGUGAGGAAUACAUCGGAAUCUACUUUUUCGUGGGGGAUAACGUAGGGAAACUUACGCUAAUACCGCAUACGACCUACGGGUGAAAGCAGGGGAUCUUCGGACCUUGCGCGAUUGAAUGAGCCGAUGUCGGAUUAGCUAGUUGGCGGGGUAAAGGCCCACCAAGGCGACGAUCCGUAGCUGGUCUGAGAGGAUGAUCAGCCACACUGGAACUGAGACACGGUCAAGACUCCUACGGGAGGCAGCAGUGGGGAAUAUUGGACAAUGGGCGCAAGCCUGAUCCAGCCAGACCGCGUGGGUGAAGAAGGCCUUCGGGUUGUAAAGACCUUUUGUUGGGAAAGAAAAGCAGCAGGUUAAUACCCCGCUGUUCUGACGGUACCCAAAGAAUAAGCACCGGCUAACUUCGUG
rnacentral:rRNA from 1 species